UAACCUGCCCAAGAGAUCGGGAUAACACCUGGAAACAGAUGCUAAUACCGGAUAACAACAGAUGAUGCCUAUCAACUGUUUAAAAGAUGGUUCUGCUAUCACUAUUGGAUGGACCUGCGGUGCAUUAGCUAGUUGGUAGGGUAACGGCCUACCAAGGCGAUGAUGCAUAGCCGAGUUGAGAGACUGAUCGGCCACAUUGGGACUGAGACACGGCCCAAACUCCUACGGGAGGCAGCAGUG
rnacentral:rRNA from 1 species